AAUCAACGCUGGCGGCGUGCCUCAGACAUGCAAGUCGAACGAUUAAAGCUCUCUUCGGAGAGUGUAUAGAGUGGCGCACGGGUGAGUAACACGUAAGUAAUCUACCUUUGAGUGGGGAAUAACCCGGGGAAACCCGAGCUAAUACCGCAUAAUGCAGCGGCACCGCAAGGUGACAGUUGUUAAAGGAGCGAUCCGCUUAAAGAGGAGCUUGCGGCAGAUUAGCUAGNGGUAAGGUAAUGGCUUACCAAGGCUUCGAUCUGUAUCCGGCCUGAGAGGGCGGUCGGACACACUGACACUGAAUAACGGGUCAGACUCCUACGGGAGGCAGCAGUCGGGAAUUUUGGGCAAUGGGCGAAAGCCUGACCCAGCAACGCCGCGUGAAGGAUGAAGUAUUUCGGUAUGUAAACUUCGAAAGAAUGGGAAGAAUCAAUGACGGUACCAUUUAUAAGGUCCGGCUAACUACGUGCCAGCAGCCGCGGUAAC
rnacentral:rRNA from 1 species